GAGCAGCCAACCAACAGCCCAGCUGCGGUGCCAAAUCGCAGAAAAAGCUCGCCAUCGCUAUAACAUCAGACAUGGAUGACUUUCAUUGUAACCGUACUUGGAUACAAUAUUCGCGAUUUGUGAAAACAGAAGUCGAUAAUUAGCAAAGAAAUUAACGAAAACUUAUCUCGUAAGCGGUUUUUGUCGUAAUGCUGUUCCAAUGCAUCGGAUUUAAACUACCGCUUUGGUCUCAUGUUAUGUGAAGAUGUGAAGUUUGCUGUGUGACAUACCAAACAGGAUAUAUAUAGCAACAGAAAAUACAAAUAAAUCACACGUUCUCAGAAGGCAGAAUUAGGAGGAUGUAUACAAGCAAGAGUAUAGAGUAAAAGCAUUAACAAGCACAAGCAAGACCAUUUCUGUACACGAAUAUUACUGGUAUAAUUGUGUCCAUUCCCUGAAUGAUCACUACACUAUAGUUGCACUAUGAUUAUAUACAGCAGGUGUACAAAUCAUCACAAUAAUGGUCAUGAGACGAAAUAAAAUUAAGGAAAACAAUAAUGUUCUCAAACAAUUAAAAAAACUUAACUGGAAAAAAACAAACAAACAACUUAACAUAUGAUAAAUUCGAUAUAAACGUAAAAAGAGAAGACGAUAAAGUUUGCUAAGCGAUGUAAGAAUGAUAAUGAUUUGAUUUUCGCAAAUAAAAAAUUUGCAAAAAAUCGAGAUAAUCAUCACUCGCCACUCGUUACUUUAUGCAUUUCAUCAAAUUCAAAUACGUACACUGAUACUAAACGAAAAUGAACAUCAUCAAUUAUAGCGUCGCCCCAAAAAAAA